GAUUAAGCUUUUCAUCUCUAAAGAGAUAGGGAUAGGGUUGGUUGGUCAAGGAUGCAUCAGGAACGAUCCCGACGAAAGGUAAAAAAAAAAGUUGUGACCCUAAUUGGCUUGGACCAGUAUAUGUAACUGUGAUUUUGGAGUAUACUCUGCAGUUUCAUCAAGCAGAAGCCAAAGCUGUGUUGUUUAAAGAUCGCCGCCUCCAUCUCUUUCAGGUGAGUAUUAACUUUGACUAAAAUAUGGCCGACAAAUUGAGUAACUUGAUCAGUCCCGAAUCGAUACAGAUAAUGUGGUAGAAGAGAGUAAACGCUGUAAGCGUCUCUCCUCUGAAGCUCACUUCAAAGACAUUUGCAGAGAUUAUUAAGAAAAUGGUUAGUCAGGGUUUUGAUUCUGAUUGGAAAGUUAAACAACAACCAGACUGAGGGCCCUUACGGUGACUAUAAAAGACAAGUAAAAGAAAUCCUGGGUUGGGAAUCAUUUCCAAGGACAAGUGUGACCCAAGUCAAACAAAAACCUGGUGAAAACCCCUUAGAAUAUGUUGAACGUUUCCGUGCAGCUUAUGAAAAUUACUGUGCUGCCAAUGAUAAUGAUGAAGAUUAUGAUUAACCUGUCUCCAUGUUUUAACACUAUUAGGCAGUCCAAUGGCUCUGGUGGCUCUUGAGUGCAACUUCCCUAAGCUCCAGAAAACACCUGAUUCUGUUGAAGAAAACUGUCAACGAUUUCAUGAUGGGAAAGAGCGGUAACCAGUGUGCACGAGGUGAUUUCUCAAUGACGGGAUUGCAUUCUACCAAAGUGAUCUCCAGAUCUGAUUGGUGCUAAUGGGACCAGGGAGCAGCAAUAAAAGGAUCUGGAAGGCCUGAAGAGGGAGCUCUGCUCAACUUGUGAUUCCCUGUUGUUUAAUUGCACAUGUGCUAUUGUGUGUUCGCUACAGCGUGUUGUUGCUGUUAGCUUGCUUGUUGAUCUGCCUGUUGUGUGCAGUGUUAUUUUUGGGUUUGAGUUAAGUUGUCAAUCCCUUUUGUAUAUUUUUGUAAAAUAUUGUAAAUACCUUUUCCACACCAGGAAGCUGUAGGGGGUGAGUGCCAUUUCCUUUGUAAAUACUGUUUUCUCCUGUUUUUCAUUAGAUAGGGAGUUAGGAUAAUUUAUUGUAUUUUCUUUUCUUUUGUUAGGGAAUUUAGGUUUUUCUGUUAGGAGUUUGUGUGGUGUUUGUUUGUUGUUUUGGCCUUUGCUCACCCCUGAAGUUGUGCUUUCAUUUGUGGUUUUGUAAAUAAAAGUGUACAAAGGAUCUUUGAUUUCAAUUGCAGUUUAUGUUGCGGCCUCACCCUAGACGAGGUCGUAACAACAGGAAUUAACAAAUAUCACAUUCAGGAAAAACAAGUGGCUGUAAAAAUGGCAUUUCAUGGUGACAAAUAGACCUGGUUUCACAGACAGAGCUUAGGCCAAGCCAGGAUCAGACCUUAGUUCAAUUAUUUAAGUAGAUUUUAUAGACAUGCCUUAGAAAAGUGUUUAUCUUGA